AGUCUUUCUUUUGCUACGAAAUAUGGCCAAGGCUUCGAUGACUGUGUUUUUGUUGGUUGUUUUCUUGAUCGUUUCAUGCGGUAAGUCUAUGUCUUUUUCCCUUCUUUGUUCGAUAGAGAUGGAGUCAAAAUUUAAAGUUUAUGAAUUUUAAAUAUGCAUUGAAGUUACUGAAUUCUAAAUUAAUAAUUUUUAUAUAAUAAAUCAAUUAUUUAAGACAUAUAUAAAACUUGAGCUAAAAUUAUUGGGUUCGAUCGAACCUGUUCCCUCAAUGCUAGCUCAGCCCCUGCAUUCUACAAUUUAUUUAAUUAGGUUUUAUAGCUAGGAAAUAGGAAUUAUGUUUAAGUAAGAUACUAACGAAUUUUCUGAUUUUCAGAUAUGGUGACAAGUCGAAGGACAUGUAAGACAACACAAGAUUGUCAAAUGGAACGUAAGACUGUGUUUCCAAGUUGUUUUUGUGUUGAUGGAGUUUGUGUAUGCAAAGGACUGAAGACAUACUCCAUUGAUCAUGAAGGAAAUAGUGGUUUAGGUGGCAAUAAUCUUCAUAGUUAAUCCUAUUAAUUAUGUGGAGUUUGCUCAUUAAUGUCUCAUAUGUUGAUGAAGGCAGUGAUUAUGUUAAAGGAGUAUCGCAAUAUAAGAUAAUGGUUACUUGACAAAUUAGUUGAUUGGAACAUGAUCUGAAA
rnacentral:lncRNA from 1 species